rnacentral:rRNA from 1 species
UACAGAGGGUGCGAGCGUUGUUCGGAAUUAUUGGGCGUAAAGGGCGCGUAGGCGGCGCGGUAAGUCACUUGUGAAAUCUCUGAGCUUAACUCAGAACGGCCAAGUGAUACUGCAGUGCUAGAGUGUGGAAGGGGCAAUCGGAAUUCUUGGUGUAGCGGUGAAAUGCGUAGAUAUCAAGAGGAACACCUGAGGUGAAGACGGGUUGCUGGGCCAACACUGACGCUGAGGCGCGAAAGCCAGGGGAGCAAACGGG